rnacentral:lncRNA from 1 species
UGAAAAUCAGUGAAAAUAAGCAAAAAUCAAAAUUAAGAAUAUGACCUUGACCUUUGACCUUGACCUCAUUUUCAUUUUUUUGGACCAAGGAUCUCAAAUCAAAAGACCCUAGGUCUCUAUCACUUAUGGUUUACCAGUUAGAAAUGCAUAUCACUUAUAUCAUUUACAUAAGGGGAAAUAACUCUCAUAUGGAGUCUCUGGAAAGCUUCGGUCCAAAUUAAUUGCCUAAUCCUGAAGAUGUAACGAGCAAUUUGGUAAAAUAAAUUUGUCGUAAUCUUUUACGGUUGCGAAGGAGUAGUGGCCACAAGAAAAACAGUGUUUGGGGAGAUAACUCUUACAACGUAAAGUAUUUUGUUACGCGGUUGUAAAUUUUUAAAGCGUAUAAACUAUACGAUAUCAUAUUCCAAAUAUCUAAGCGACAUCUUUUGAAACAUCAAUAAUACGCAAGAAAAAAUUUAGGCGGAAGAAAAAAAAAAAUAAUAAUAAUAAUAAUAAU